rnacentral:rRNA from 1 species
UACAGAGGUCUCAAGCGUUGUUCGGAUUCAUUGGGCGUAAAGGGUGCGUAGGCGGCGCGGUAAGUCGGGUGUGAAAUCUUGGAGCUUAACUCCGAAACUGCAUUCGAUACUGCCGUGCUUGAGGACUGGAGAGGAGACUGGAAUUUACGGUGUAGCGGUGAAAAUGCGUAGAUAUCGGGAGGAACACCGGUGGCGAAGGCGGUUCUCUGGGCCUUACCUGACGCUGAGGAGCGAAAGCGUGGGGAGCGAACAG